rnacentral:rRNA from 1 species
CCUACGGGCGGCAGCAGUGGGGAAUAUUGGACAAUGGGCGAAAGCCUGAUCCAGCCAUGCCGCGUGUGUGAAGAAGGCCUUCGGGUUGUAAAGCACUUUCAGUGGGGAAGAAAGCCUUGGGGCUAAUACCCUCGAGGAAGGACAUCACCCACAGAAGAAGCACCGGCUAACUCCGUGCCAGCAGCCGCGGUAAUACGGAGGGUGCGAGCGUUAAUCGGAAUUACUGGGCGUAAAGCGCGCGUAGGCGGUCUGAUAAGCCGGUUGUGAAAGCCACGGGCUCAACCUGGGAACGGCAUCCGGAACUGUCAGGCUAGAGUGCAGGAGAGGAAGGUAGAAUUCCCGGUGUAGCGGUGAAAUGCGUAGAGAUCGGGAGGAAUACCAGUGGCGAAGGCGGCCUUCUGGACUGACACUGACGCUGAGGUGCGAAAGCGUGGGUAGCAAACAGGAUUAGAUACCCUUGUAGUC